rnacentral:precursor_RNA from 1 species
UAGUGAGCUGAUAUUUAAUUACAAGGACUGUUGUGGUCCAAUGGAAAAGCGCCCGUCAUGGAGCCAGAGGGUCCUGGGUUCGAUCUUCGGCGAGGUC